rnacentral:rRNA from 1 species
UACGUAGGGUCCGAGCGUUGUCCGGAAUUACUGGGCGUAAAGAGCUCGUAGGUGGUUUGUCGCGUUGUUCGUGAAAACUCACGGCUCAACUGUGGGCGUGCGGGCGAUACGGGCAGACUUGAGUACUGCAGGGGAGACUGGAAUUCCUGGUGUAGCGGUGGAAUGCGCAGAUAUCAGGAGGAACACCGGUGGCGAAGGCGGCUCUCUGGGGACGGGUACUGACGCUGAGACGCGAAAAGUGUGGGG